rnacentral:rRNA from 1 species
AUGGCUCAGGAUGAACGCUGGCGGCGUGCCUAACACAUAGCAAGUCGAACGAAGCACUUAGACAGGAACCUUCGGGUGACGUAUGGUGACUGAGUGGCGGACGGGUGAGUAACGCGUGGGUAACCUGCCCUGUACAGGGGGAUAACAGUUAGAAAUGACUGCUAAUACCGCAUAAGCGCACGAUGGUAGCAUUACCAGGUGUGAAAAACUCCGGUGGUACAGGAUGGGGCCCCGCGUCUGAUUAGCUAGUUGGCGGGGUAAGAGCCCACCAAGGCGACGAUCAGUAGCCGGUCUGAGAGGAUGAACGGCCACAUUGGAACUGAGACACGGUCCAAACUCCUACGGGAGGCAGCAGUGGGGAAUAUUGCACAAUGGGGGGAACCCUGAUGCAGCAAACGCCGCGUGAGUGAAGAAGUAUUUCGGUAUGUAAAGCUCUAUCAGCAGGGAAGAUAAUGACGGUACCUGACUAAGAAGCUCCGGCUAAAUACGUGCCAGCAGCGGC